rnacentral:rRNA from 1 species
GACGAACGCUGGCGGCGUGCUUAACACAUGCAAGUCGAACGGAAAGGCCCUGCUUUUGUGGAGUGCUCGAGUGGCGAACGGGUGAGUAACACGUGAGUAACCUGCCCUUGACUUUGGGAUAACUUCAGGAAACUGGGGCUAAUACCGGAUAGGAGCUCCUGCUGCAUGGUGGGGGUUGGAAAGUUUCGGCGGUUGGGGAUGGACUCGCGGCUUAUCAGCUUGUUGGUGGGGUAGUGGCUUACCAAGGCUUUGACGGGUAGCCGGCCUGAGAGGGUGACCGGCCACAUUGGGACUGAGAUACGGCCCAGACUCCUAAGGGAGGCAGCAGUGGGGAAUAUUGCACAAUGGGCGGAAGCCUGAUGCAGCAACGCCGCGUGCGGGAUGACGGACUUCGGGUUGUAAACCGCUUUCGCCUGUGACGAAGCGUGAGUGACGGUAAUGGGUAAAGAAGCACCGGCUAACUACGUG